GAGUCAAACAGAAAGCUGAGUGAAAAGUGGUGCUGGAUAAAAACUUCUACUGAGUGAUGGAUGGCCCAUGCACAAAUACAUUACAAAUGUAUAAGGCAAGAAGCCUUCAGGGAAGUUGAACAGUCAUACAAGAAACCAGACAUUUUUGUGGGUUACAAGGUUACAAGUUGAGCCCUGGAUACCAUUUUUUGACAGUGUAUAGAUCCCACAUUUGCUUCUCGGCCAAAAUAGCAAAGACCCUGAAUUUAUCCUAGCUUUUGAACAAGAAAGAUACAAGGCAGCCUGACAGCCUACAUUUCUCUCUGAUGCCACCACAACAGAGAACAAUAGCCCCAGAAAUGGGAUCUUGACACUGCUGCAUGGAGGGAGAGUUUUAAUUUUUGCAACUGGAGAUGUCUAACAGACCUUCUUCUGGAUGAAACAUGACAGGGGAAGCUGCUUUCUGUGGGAAGUCUUUUCUGAAGCUUAAAACGAAGAGAAAUAAUUGAGAUAAACAUGGAAUACGUGGGGUGUGAUUGUCUCAAACCCUCAUAUUGGAAACAAGGACGACUACUGUGACUCAGCUUGUCAGAACAUCAUGCAGAGCCUUCCC